rnacentral:rRNA from 1 species
GACCCCACUGCUAUCGGGAUAGGACUAAGACAUGCUAGUCGAGCGCCUCCCAGCCACGACGGAGGCGCGGCGCACAGCUCAGUAACACGUGGCUAACCUGCCCUCGGGACGGGAAUACCCCCGGGAAACUGGGGCUAAUCCUCGAUAGGUGAAGAACUCUGGAAUGAGUCUCCGCCCAAAAGACGCUUAAAUCAUGCUUUUAGGCGCCGCCCAAGGAUGGGGCCCGCGACCGAUCAGGUAGUUGGUGAGGCAACGGCUCACCAAGCCUUUAACCGGUGCGGGCCGUGGGAGCGGGAGCCCGGAAUGGGCCUGAGACAAGGGCCCCAGGCCCUACGGGGCGCAGCGUCGCGAAACUUUUGCAUACACGAAAGUGUGACAGGGCUAUCCCGAGUCCUAUCCGGUGAGGAAGUUUUUUACCCUGUCUAAAAGCUGGGAGAAUAGGAGAGGGCAAGUCUGGUGUCGCCGCCGCGGAAUAACAGCUCUCGAGUGGUGGGGAUUUUUAUUGGGCCUAAAGCAUCCGUAGCUGGCCAAGUUAUCCCCUGUAAAAUCCACCGAAUUAAUCGUUGGUGUGCGGGGGAUACUGCUCGGCUAGGGGACGAGAGAGGCCGACGGUAUUUUCGGGGUAGGGGUGAAAUCCUAUAAUCCCGAGAGGACCACCAGUGGCGAAGGCUGUCGGCUAGAACGCGCCCGACGGUGAGGGAUGAAAGCUGGGGGAGCGAACCGGAUUAGAUACCCGGGUAGUCCCAGCUGUAAACGAUGCAGGCUAGGUGUUUGGGCGGCCACGGGCCGCUCUAGUGCCGCAGGGAAGCUGUUAAGCCUGCCGCCUGGGGAGUACGGUCGCAAGGCUGAAACUUAAAGGAAUUGGCGGG